UUAAAAUUUGUGUAUAUUUUAUAAAAUUAAGAGAUAGAAAGAUAAAGAAAUUAAUGAAACCAGGAACAUUAAGUUGAACAUGUUCAACUCUCCGAUUUUUAAUUUCAAAUUUUAAAGAUCUUAUUUACCACAGAGCACACACAUUACGAUACAAAAUUAUAUAAAUCUUCAUUACAAGUAAUGUUCAUAUUACUGUUAUUGCACACAGAUCAUUUUAAUAUAGGAACAAAGGUUCUUGAAACAUUCAUGUCAAUAAAGCCCAUCUGAACUGAGAAAAAUAAUAAUAAUAGAGACAGAUAAAUAUAAAUAUUAAAUAUUUAAAGCACACAUUGUGAUGUAUGCAGCAGCACUACCUACCAACUGGAUGCUCUCCCCUCUUUUCUCAAUUGUUUGUCUAUGAUUCGAUUAAAAUCCUCCACUUCACUGAAAUAGUACAUAAAGAACAUAAUCACAAAAAUGCUGUUAAAAAGUGGUACACAGUACAGUACAGUACACGACACAAUCUAACACAUGGUAUUUUAACAGUCAAUUAUUAUGAUGGCCUACUGUCUGACUAUAAAAACGUCACAUGUCUCAAUCAACAUUAUAAAACCAUAUCUAAAUGAAGAGAAGUACUCAUAACAUGUAUUGUGUGGUAACGUUAUAAAGGCUGACUGUGAGCAUGUGACAGUUAAAACAUUUAGAUUAUUUUAACUAAAAAUCAAAGAAAAACAACAACAACAAAAAAAAAACAAUGAGUAACCAUGGUUUUUUGGUUUUAACUGUAGUAAAACCAUGUUUAUUUUUCGUAAGGGAAACUAUUUUUAAAUGUUGUGUUUGUGUUUAUCUAACAUGUACAGAUGCCGAUCUAUACCGCUGGGCCUAACGUUAAUGCGCUGUAAUUGUUCACAAAUCAUGUGACUACUGUAUUGUAACUGAUCCACAAUACAGUACAGUAUAUUCAAACUGUUUGCGUUUUCAUUUUUUCGUUUAAAAGAGACUUACAAAGGACUUAUACUUUAAUACGUGUGUGAUUUUCCAGUCUACACAUCAAAUGAUUAAUAAUCCACAGUAUUGUCAGCUAAUUUUUUUCCUAAACAGAAAAAAUGGUGUAGGAUUCAGGCAUCUUUUUCAGGUUUCCUCUAAGCUACGAUAUACAGUAAUGUUAGUUUCUGUUAUGUUUAUUUCCAGAAUGGCAGAGCCAGGCAUCAAUGGAGGUCCCCCCAAAUUUUUGAGAAUCCAUGUACAGAAAUGACUCAGUUGUGAUACAAAAGAUUCAGCUGGCCAGUGACGGGGUGGUGGGCAAACAACCAACAACUCUUUGCUGGGAGAAUUUCAGCUGCCAAUGACCUUAGUAAUAAAUAAUGAUGCUGCUCCAAACAUCAUGCUUUACAAAGGUGAAAUGGAUGAAGAUGCGUUCCCUUUCUCUUUAAUUCCAAAAGACUAGAAAGAGCAAGAAAAGAAAUCUGUAAAAACAAAGACAUUCACAUUCUUCUGUAAAUCCCCAUUGCCCUCACUAGCAGAUUCGGGGAGAGCCCGCAGGCACUGAACUCAGCUUCACCACUACACAAAUGCUACAUUCAACUAUGUUGUAUUAUAUACAAUAAUCUGUAUUUCGUGUUAAUGUGUAUAUUGUAACCCUGUCUCCUGUCUAUACUGUAUCUGUAGUGUAAUACUGUGUAUAUGGUAUUUACUCUUUUCUGUUUGGUAUAUUUAUUGUUUUAAAUUUUGUCACACUCAACUGCUUUAAUGCUAUGGUUAUUAAAAAUGAUUUUCACUCGUUGUAUACAUGGUUCAAAGAUUAGCCUCUAAACAUGAUUUUAUUUGGUCUUAUGAUAUGAACACAUGUUAAUUGUUUGAAGAUUUGUAUGUUUGCUGCACAUUUUGCUAAUCAAGGUCAUAUGAACAAAUAAACCUAACAACAGUUCA